UAAGUAGGGUGCGAGCGUUAAUCGGAAUUACUGGGCGUAAAGCGUGCGCAGGCGGUUUCGUAAGACAGGUGUGAAAUCCCCGGGCUUAACCUGGGAACUGCGUUUGUGACUGCGAGACUCGAGUGUGGCAGAGGGGGGUGGAAUUCCACGUGUAGCAGUGAAAUGCGUAGAGAUGUGGAGGAACACCGAUGGCGAAGGCAGCCCCCUGGGUUAACACUGACGCUCAUGCACGAAAGCGUGGGUAGCAAACAGG
rnacentral:rRNA from 1 species